rnacentral:rRNA from 1 species
AGAGUUUGAUCCUGGCUCAGAUUGAACGCUGGCGGCAUGCCUUACACAUGCAAGUCGAACGGCAGCACGGGAGCAAUCCUGGUGGCGAGUGGCGAACGGGUGAGUAAUACAUCGGAACGUGCCCAGUUGUGGGGGAUAGCCCGGCGAAAGCCGGAUUAAUACCGCAUACGACCUACGGGUGAAAGCGGGGGAUCGCAAGACCUCGCGCAAUUGGAGCGGCCGAUGGCAGAUUAGCUUGUUGGUGGGGUAAAAGCCUACCAAGGCGACGAUCUGUAGCUGGUCUGAGAGGACGACCAGCCACACUGGGACUGAGACACGGCCCAGACUCCUACGGGAGGCAGCAGUGGGGAAUUUUGGACAAUAGGCGCAAGCCUGAUCCAGCCAUGCCGCGUGUGGGAAGAAGGCCUUCGGGUUGUAAACCACUUUUGUCAGGGAAGAAACGGUCUGAUCUAAUAAAUCGGACUAAUGACGGUACCUGAAGAAUAAGCACCGGCUAACUACGUGCCAGCAGCCGCGGUAAUACGUAGGGUGCAAGCGUUAAUCGGAAUUACUGGGCGUAAAGCGUGCGCAGGCGGCUAUGCAAGACAGAUGUGAAAUCCCCGGGCUCAACCUGGGAACUGCAUUUGUGACUGCAUGGCUAGAGUACGGCAGAGGGGGAUGGAAUUCCGCGUGUAGCAGUGAAAUGCGUAGAUAUGCGGAGGAACACCGAUGGCGAAGGCAAUCCCCUGGGCCUGUACUGACGCUCAUGCACGAAAGCGUGGGGAGCAAACGGGAUUAGAUACCCUGGUAGUCCACGCCCUAAACGAUGUCAACUGGUUGUUGGACGGCUUGCUGUUCAGUAACGAAGCUAACGCGUGAAGUUGACCGCCUGGGGAGUACGGCCGCAAGGUUGAAACUCAAAGGAAUUGACGGGGACCCGCACAAGCGGUGGAUGAUGUGGUUUAAUUAGACGCAACGCGAAAAACCUUACCUACCCUUGACAUGUCUAGAAGUUUCCAGAGAUGGAUUCGUGCUCGAAAGAGAACUAGAACACAGGUGCUGCAUGGCCGUCGUCAGCUCGUGUCGUGAGAUGUUGGGUUAGGUCCCGCAACGAGCGCAACCCUUAUCAUUAGUUGCUACGCAAGGGCACUCUAAUGAGACUGCCGGUGACAAACCGGAGGAAGGUGGGGAUGACGUCAGGUCAUCAUGGCCCUUAUGGGUAGGGCUACACACGUCAUACAAUGGCCGGUACAGAGGGCUGCCAACUCGCGAGAGGGAGCUAAUCUCAGAAAACCGGUCGUAGUCCGGAUCGCAGUCUGCAACUCGACUGCGUGAAGUCGGAAUCGCUAGUAAUCGCGGAUCAGCUUGCCGCGGUGAAUACGUUCCCGGGUCUUGUACACACCGCCCGUCACACCAUGGGAGCGGGUUCUGCCAGAAGUAGUUAGCCUAACCGCAAGGAGGGCGAUUACCACGGCAGGGUUCGUGACUGGGGUGAAGUCGUAACAAGGUA